AUUGAGGACUGAAAUAACAAUAACAACGUUUCCUUGGCGGGAACCUUUUGCUGCGGAGUAAUUCAGUCACGUGACUGUGGGGGCUGCCUGACUUCUCUUAUUUCCCUGCCGCCUCCCUCCCGUCAGAGGCCUUAAGGUGGUCUCUGGGGUUUCAGGACCCCAGUUUUACUCUAUAUCCUCUGCUCUGAUAUGAAGAGAAGAUGAUCUGUAUUGUGGGCUUCAACCUUUUGCUUCUCUACAAGGGCAUGCUGUGUGAAAAAGUGACCCAGAGUUCCCCAGACAAGAUCGUAGAAAGUGGCAGUGAGGUGACACUGCCCUGUACUUAUGACUCCGAAUACAUAGAUCCAGAUUUAUACUGGUACCGCAUAAGGCCAGAUCGUUCCUUUCAGUUUGUCCUUUACAGGGAUAACAUUAGGGUCCUUGAUGCGGAUUUUACUCAGGGUCGCUUUUCUGUGCAGCGCAGUCAUACCCACCAAACCUUCAACUUGGUGAUCUCCUCAGUGAGGACUGAAGACAGAGCCACUUACUACUGUGCCAUAAAUCCCCACGGUGAUGCAGGUGCCCAGGAAGUCUGCACAUAAACCCCUGGGCGUGGCCUGGCAGAGCCGCCUAUCAGAGCAGCUCUUGUCCCUGGGCAUGGCAGCCUUCUUCCUGGCGAGGCUGUGUUCCACCUGGCCUUCAGAGGUGCUCU